CUUUUCUUCUCCUCUGUCUGAACCCCUCUCCUUCUCGUGUGAUUUGCGCCCGAUGUCGCACCUCUUCUCCACGCGUCACCCCACACCAGACGCCAACUGCCCCUUCCUUCUCAUCCCUUCUCCUUGAUUUUCCAUCGCCGAACCCGUGCUAACCUCCUUCUUCUUUCCUCUCGUUCUCUCUUUCACGGACGAAUCGAAGACGACGGAACAGAGAUUCUACCUUCGGCGAUCGUCGGUGUCGCCUGAGGAGGAAGUCGUCAGAGCUCGACGGUGCCGAGAAAGUCCAAGCUGUAUUCAGCCGAGGGGUCUUUGCUCCGGUGGUGCCUACGGUCGAACGACGACUCCUUGGUGGCUAGGGCACGAUCAGACCAAGCCACGCCAUCGGGAGGUGAUCAAGAAAGGUAAGUCAGCGUCGAUUCUUGCUCUCCUUCCCUCUGGUUGUUGGUGAUUUGGGAGGUCGAAGCAGUGUCACCUACUAACCGGCGAGGCGUGGUCAUCUUCACGAACCAUCAUCUCAAGCUAGUAGCUACUUCUGAUCUAGAGUUGGUAAGGUUGUUGAAUUAAGCUUGAUUGAUCUAAAGUAAAGGUCUAGGUACAGGGCUGAUUUGGGGAAUCAGUUUGGGUGGCUAGCAGCGUCAUCCAACUCCGGCCACCAAUUUCCAGCAUCAAACUUCUCCGAUCGCGGGUCAACAUUAGCACGAUCGAAGUUGGGUGAGUUUGUUUGGAUUGGUUUGAUUCAUUAUGUAGAAGAUUGAUCAUUUAGGGAUGAAUUGGUUAUUGGGUAAUUGAUCGAUGGAUUAGGGUUUCCUGGUUGAAUAAGAAUUUGGAUUUUGUUAA